CUUGGAUAAAAUCGUGAAAUAAACCUGUAGCCACGAGAACGGUCUUUACAACUCAGAUCUGGGACAUUACUGGAGUAACUUAACCCCGACUCAAGAUGACUUAAAAGCGGCUCAGAGCAUGAGACGGUGUUGAUAAGAAGAAAGUAGCAGUUCCCUAAGAUGAUCGAGAAACAACUCAGAGCAUAGGGUCACUACUACGGAAAUAAAUUCAACGGCUACCCGAGACGGCCGAAAAAACAGCUUAGAGCACGGGCCAGUUGCUGACAAGAGAAAUAAAAGUCAGCAUGCACCCCGAU
rnacentral:lncRNA from 1 species